CGGACGAUAACAGCCUACGGGACGCAGCAGUAGAAUUUUGGACAGUAGGGAAACCCUGGAUAUUCGAGUAGCUCCAGCGUCAGUCGAACCUUCAGGUUGUAAACACUUUUGGCAGGAAAGAAACGGCGCAAGGAUAUGUUGGCGACACGUGAAUGAAAAACACCUGCAGAAUAAGCGCAAACUAACCGUGCCAGCAGCCAUGAUAAUACGUAGGGUGCAAGCGUUAAUCAGAUUGUUCCACUGGGCGUAAGCGUGCGCAGGCGGUUCGGAAAGAAAGAUGAAAUCCCAGAGCUUAACUUUGGAACUGCAUUUUUAACUACGAGCUAGAGUGUGUCAGAUGGAAAUUCCGCGGCGUGCUAGCAAUCAAAUGCGUAGAUAUGCGGAGAGACACCUGAUGGCGAAGGCAGCCUCCUGGGAUAACACUGACGCUCAUGCGAAAGCGUGGGGAGCAAACAGGAUUAGAUACCCUUGUAGU
rnacentral:misc_RNA from 1 species